CAAAACCUGCACCUCUGCAGGCUCAGCUGCCACUCAGCACUGAGAUUAUAGAGCAUUCACCUCUGCUCUGUCUCAAGCAGACAGCAUCACCAGAUGAGGUGUGUUCAAUCAUUUAACUAAACAACAAAAACAACUUUUGUAGCUGGUCAUGUUCUUCUCAGCCACCACCCCCAUGAAGAUAAACACUUGCCCACAUAUAAUGCACCUCAGAAGAGGUGUAUCAUAUAUCUAGCAUCAUUAUCAGUAUAUCAACAUUGCUAAGAGCACUACUAUCUAUCCAAAAGCAAAUUUUGUGAGGUGUAGUGAUAGUGUGAAGAGUAACAGUAGAAGAUAGUCUAUAGCGUAGCAGAGAUAAUAGUAAUAUAUUGUAAAGUGUAGUAUAGUAGUGUAAUGUAGUGUAGUGUAGCUAAUUGCUAAGGAAGAAAAGAA
rnacentral:sRNA from 1 species